UCCCUGGUGGGUGGCUAAGACUCUCUGCUCCUAAAGCAGAGGUCCUAGGUUCAAUUCCUGGUCAGGGAA
rnacentral:tRNA from 1 species